rnacentral:rRNA from 1 species
GAUCCUGGCUCAGGAUAAACGCUAGCGGCAGGCCUAACACAUGCAAGUCGAGGGGCAUCGGAUAGAGUACUUCGGCACUCUUGCCGGCGACCGGCGGACGGGUGCGUAACGCGUAUGCAACCUACCUUCAACAGGGGGAUAAUCCGAAGAAAUUUGGUCUAAUACCCCAUAAUAUUCCGACAGGCAUCUGUCGGAGUUGAAAGCUUCGGUGGUUGGAGAUGGGACAUGCGUUGUAUUAGCUAGAUGG